CUACGGGGCGCAGCAGUGAGGAAUAUUGCACAAUGGGGGGAACCCUGAUGCAGCAACGCCGCGUGGAGGAUGACGCAUUUCGGUGUGUAAACUCCUUUUAUAUGUCAAGAAAAUGACGGUAGCAUAUGAAUAAGCACCGGCUAACUCCGUGCCAGCAGCCGCGGUAAUACGGAGGGUGCAAGCGUUACUCGGAAUCACUGGGCGUAAAGGACGCGUAGGCGGGCUAGAAAGUCAGGUGUGAAAGCCUAUGGCUCAACCAUAGAACAGCACUUGAAACUCCUAGUCUAGAGGAUGGGAGGGGGAGAUGGAAUUAGUAGUGUAGGGGUAAAAUCCGUAGAUAUUACUAGGAAUACCGAAAGCGAAGGCGAUCUCCUGGAACAUAACUGACGCUAAGGCGUGAAAGCGUGGGGAGCAAACAGGAUUAGAUACCCUCGUAGUC
rnacentral:rRNA from 1 species